rnacentral:lncRNA from 1 species
CCCCCCCCCCCUCGCGUUCACGAUGCACAAAAAUUCCUCAGAUCAAAUUAAGCCUUCGCAAAUGUAUCUGGUCUCCCGCGAACGUGAAGGCGCAGGGCACAGACAUAUGCGAACUCGACCUAUUGAACAGGAACGCGUUGAACACCCAGACUGACCCUCUACUUUACUCUACGUGAACGCGUGCCCCAUCCCGCGAACGCGAAGCGCCAAUGCCUCAACCUACGCGACCACGUUGAUCAUUUUCCUGACCUCCAAAAUUAACCCUACGCGAACGUGACACUUGCCACGUGAAUGCGAAGGCUUAAAAAUAGUCUACACUGCUGUUGCAUUUUCUGCAACACUCAAAGUCCAAAAAUCCUUCUGUUAAUCACCCGGAAUCACCCCGAGGCCCAAGGGACCUCGACCAAAAACACCAACAUAUACCAAAACAUCAUACAAACUUAUUCCAAUCAUCAUAACACGUCAAACAACACUAAAAUCAUAAAUUCACAUAAGAUUCAAGCCUAAGUUUCUUCAAAACUUCCGAAUUGCACAUUCGAUAAAAAACCCGACCUAAACACCUCCGAAUGACCUGAAAUUUUACAUAGAUAUCCAAAAUUACCUAACAGAGCUACUGUAACUCUCGAAAUUCCAUUUCAAGCCUUGAAUCAUAAUCUCACCUAUCAAUCGGAAAUCGCCAAAAUUUAAACUUCGCCAAUUCAAGCCUAAUUCUGCAUCGGACCUCAAAAUUCAAUUCCGAUAGCACUCCUAAGUCAUAAUCAUCCCCCGAAGCUAAUCAAAUCAUCAUGAUUCACAUCUGAGCCCUAUAACUAAAUAGUCAACUUCCAGUUGACUUUUCCAAAGUAAGCUUCCCUUUAAGAGACUAAAUGUCUCAUUUUCAUCUGAAACCAAUCCAAUUCUACCUGAUAAACUCAAAUACUGAUAUUGAAACAUAGAUAAGUAUAAUAUGAGGUAAACAAGGCGGUAACUCACGUGACAACGGGCCGGGUCAUCACAAAAUAUAGUCUCGAGUUGAUUACAAUGAGCAAGCAAUUAAAUCACAGAACACUAAUCAGAAAUGUGACAGGACUAUUGAAAUUACGAAUCUACAUUAGAGAAUCAUCAUCAAUUCCAUUUCAUAUCUCAACAUGUGAAGCUACAUGAUAGAGUCUCGAGGUAUGUACCUAGAAUGAGAAAGGAAUAGAAAAUGAGCAAAUCAACAGCAACACAGGACUUAGCAAAAGCUCCAGAAAUCCAGCAAGGGAUAACGGGGUCUCGAAAAAUAAGUAAUUUCUGCUGGGCCUUUAUCCUUUUUGUAGGUUCAUUAGGCUUCUUAUUAGUUGGAACUUCCAGUUAUCUUGGUAGAAAUUUGAUAUCUUUUUUUCCGCCUCAGCAAAUCAUUUUUUUUCCACAUCUGCUGGGCCUUUAUCCUUUUUGUAGGUUCAUUAGGCUUCUUAUUAGUUGGAACUUCCAGUUAUCUUGGUAGAAAUUUGAUAUUUUUUUCCCGCCUCAGCAAAUCAUUUUUUUUACUUAAAGUAGACUCUUAAACACCCAAGAGUGCUUCAGUGAUCAACAAUCACUAAAACUGGCUCAAAAUUGAUCCGUUUGAACCCAAAUCAACUAAAAACCAAAUCAGAGAUCAUUGUGGACUUUAAUUACUAGAAUCUGAACUAAGAGAAGUCAAUCAAUCACAACAUUUGAAAUUAAACUUGAGGAAUAGAUGGAAAAGUACUAUUUUUUGGGGUUUUCAGCUUUUGUAUAUAUAUUUUUUGAUUUUUUUAGGUUGGAAAAAGGGAUUUCAAACUUUGAGAUCUAGAAUUUAAAAUCUGAAAUUCAAAUAUUUCAAUCCGGAAACUAUGGCCUAUUUGUUGGGAAUUAGAUGACUGAAAAAAGACCCCUCACCAAGGCAAUUGUGAUGCAUUUUAUAGGCAUCCAGAAGAGAGCAACAGACUUCAAAAUUUCUUUUAGGUCCCUGUUAAUUUUCCACUUUUAGUCCCUGUAUUUUUAACUUGGGACACAAGGACCUACCACUAUCAAUCUAAACUUUUAACUACCACUCAUCCUAGAAGCUUCUAGUAAUUUCCAAAUUCAGUCCCCAAAUGAAAUCCCCAAAUUAACCCUUUAUUAACUAAUUAUACUUAGGAUUGACCCACUAACUCUAAUCAACUAAACUAAACAUGGAUGUACUAAACUAUAACUAAAAGUUAUCUGACAAAAAAAAAAAGAAUUAAUCACAGAAUUUGUUCAAUUAUUAACCAACUCGAUCAACAAUAAAAAGUAUACCACUAUAUUAGUCUAACAGAACUAAGCAUAGAGGUCAAGCUAAACUAGAAAACAUUUAAAAGACAACUACCAUAUUGAACUAAUCGGAACGAAUAGUUAGCAGGCGAUAGUUAAACUAAAAAUCAAAACCUAUCGGACCCUAAACAUUAACUAAUCAUGCAAACUAAUUAUUGUCAAAAUAAUUCUAACACUCUAAUUGAAUCCACAUGCUAGCAAGAAAAAUAGGGAUAUAAGAGUGACUGAAAAAGAAAUAAAAAGGAAGGGAACAAACUUACUAAACAAAAUCCGUCCAGUUCAUCAAUUCUCUAAUUUGGCCAUUUCCGAUGAAAUUCGAGCUCUAAUGGCACUAAAAUCUUUAUGAGGUCAGUCCAGGAACCCUAUCAUAUCUCAUUUGGUAAGGAUUGGUUAUUUAAGUUUUGGCUAGAGAAUCUAAAAAUAUAAAUUCGAGAAUUUACAGUGAGAUUCGAGAUGUGUGGUUAUGAGGGUUGGGUAGAGAACGAUAAGGAGAACCUAUGGUGUGAAUUUGGGAUAAGUGACAUCAUGGCCAAAAAACUUUAAAUGGAUAUUCGAUGAGCUCUAGUGGGAUUUGAAAGAAACAAGCAACAUAUUCGAGUAGAGGAGGCGGAGAGGAAGUUAGGGUGUUAUUUUGGGGUGGUUUGGAGGUGGUAACGUUCACCGCCGGCGGCGACUUCCGGCGGCGUUACAGAGAUACGAGGAAGACGACUUAUGUAUUAGGGUUAGUUAAUUUUUUU